rnacentral:misc_RNA from 1 species
UCAAACUUGGUCAUUUAGAGGAAGUAAAAGUCGUAACAAGGUUUCCGUAGGUGAACCUGCGGAAGGAUCAUUAUUGAAGAUUGUGGCUUCGUUCCGAGGCCCAACCCUCAUUCCAAACCCCUUGUGAACGUGUCCUGUUGCUUUGGCGGGUACGUCGGCCUGCAGCGCACGCCGUCGACCGCCAAAGGCUUUUACCUAUAAACUUCUGUACGUAUUGGCGUCGGAUUGAUAUAUUGAAUAAACUUAAAAACUUUCAACAAUGGAUCUCUUGGUUCUCGCAUCGAUGAAGAACGCAGC